rnacentral:rRNA from 1 species
UACGUAGGGUGCGAGCGUUGUCCGGAAUUACUGGGCGUAAAGAGCUCGUAGGUGGUUUGUCGCGUUGUUCGUGAAAACUCACAGCUCAACUGUGGGCGUGCGGGCGAUACGGGCAGACUGGAGUACUGCAGGGGGAGACUGGAAUUCCUGGUGUAGCGGUGGAAUGCGCAGAUAUCAGGAGGAACACCGGUGGGCGAAGGCGGGGUCUCUGGGCAGUAAACUGACGCUGAGGAGCGAAAGCGUGGGGAGCGAACAGG